AAAAGGCGUUUGAGUCGCGUGUCCUGGACCCGAAGCGGGAUGAUCUAGCCCUGAGCAGGUUGAAGCGCGGGUAAGACCGCGUGGAGGACCGAACCCACCUGGGUUGAAAACCGGGGGGAUGACUUGGGGUUAGGGGUGAAAGGCCAAUCAAAUUCCGUGAUAGCUGGUUCUCUCCGAAAUGCAUUUAGGUGCAGCGUCGGGGAUUACGUCCGGGGGGUAGAGCUACUGGAUGCUUGAGGGCCCGUAUCGGGUACCGACAGCAGCCAAACUCCGAAUACCCGUGACGCGUAUCCCGGCAGUGAGUCGGCGGGGGAUAAGCUCCGUCGUCGAAAGGGAGACAGCCCAGAUCGUCGUCUAAGGUCCCCAAGCGCGUGCUAAGUGGGAAAGGAUGUGGAGUCGCAUAGACAGCCAGGAGGUUGGCUCAGAAGCAGCCACCCUUGAAAGAGUGCGUAACAGCUCACUGGUCUAGUGGUUCCGCGCCGACAAUGUAGCGGGGCUCAAGCACACCACCGAAGACGCGGCAGUAUUUUGUACUGGGUAGGAGAGCGUCCCAUGAGGGGCGAAGCGGCCGUGUGAACGCGCCGUGGACUUCAUGGGAGUGAGAAUGCAGACAUGAGUAGCGAGAGACGGGUGAAGAUCCCGUCCGCUGGAUGACCAAGGGUUCCAGGGCCACGUUCAUCGUCCCUGGGUGAGUCGGGUCCUAAGGCGAGGCCGACAGGCGUAGUCGAAUGGAUGAACGGGUCGAUAUUCCCGUACCGGCUUUCAGCCGCCAAAACCGAGGCUUGGAGUACUAACCUCCGGGUCCGGGCUUACUGCUCCUUCGGGGGCGGGAUGCCCUGGCCUGUUGGGACCGAUCCUUGUAGUAGGUCAGCGCAGGAGUGACGCAGAAGGGUAGCCGGCCGCGGAGGUGGUCUUCCGUGGUCAAGCACGCAGGGCGUGGGACAGGCAAAUCCGUCCCGCAUGGGUCCGAGGUGCGAUGAUGGGGGCCUUAUGGCCCGAUAUCCGGUGAUCCCGGCUGCCGAGAAAAGCUUCGGCGUCAGGCUCAAAGCCGCCCGUACCCCAAACCGACACUGGUGGUCAGGUAGAGAAUACCAAAGCGAUCGAGCGAAUCCUGGUCAAGGAACUCGGCAAAUCACUCCCGUUCCUUCGGUUUAAGGGAGACCCCCGAUGGUGAACACACUUGCUGUGGGAGCUUUUGGGGGUGGCACAGACCAGGGGGUAGCGACUGUUUACCAAAAACACAGGUGCAUGCGAAGGCGCAAGCCGCUGUAUAUGCACUGACGCCUGCCCGGUGCCGGAAGGUUAAGAGGAUCCGUCAGCCUUCGGGUGAAGCGGUGAAUUCAAGCCCCGGUAAACGGCGGUGGUAACUAUAACCAUCCUAAGGUAGCGAAAUUCCUUGUCGGGUAAGUUCCGACCUGCACGAAUGGCGUAACGACUUCCCCACUGUCUCGACCAGGAGCUCGGCGAAAUUGCAGUACGAGUAAAGAUGCUCGUUAAGCGCAGAAGGACGAAAAGACCCCGGGACCUUUACUAUACCUUGGUAUUGGCAUUCGGUGUGGAUUGUGUAGCAUAGGCGGGAGGCCGAGAGGCGCGGUCGCCAGAUCGCGCGGAGCCGUAAGGUGAAAUACCGCUCUGUUCGCAUUGGAUGUCUAACCUCGAACAGUCAUCCUGUUCAGGGACAGUGCCUGGCGGGUAGUUUAACUGGGGCGGUUGCCUCCCAAAGAGUAACGGAGGCGCCCAAAGGUCCGCUCAGCCCGGUUGGCAAUCGGGUGGCGAGUGCAAGUGCACAAGCGGGCUUGACUGCGAGGACGACGGUCCGAGCAGGGACGAAAGUCGGGACUAGUGAUCCGGUGCCGGUGUACGGACGCGGCAUCGCUCAACGGAUAAAAGGUACCCCGGGGAUAACAGGCUGAUCAUUCC
rnacentral:rRNA from 1 species